UUUAUCAAAAACAUCGCCUCUUGCAAAAUCAACAAAUAAGAGGUCACGCCUGCCCAGUGACUAUAUGUUCAACGGCCGCGGUAUUUUGACCGUGCAAAGGUAGCGCAAUCACUUGUCUUUUAAAUGGAGACCUGUAUGAAUGGCAUCACGAGGGCUUAACUGUCUCCUUUCUUUAGCCAAUGAAAUUGAUCUCCCCGUGCAGAAGCGGGGAUUAUCCCAUAAGACGAGAAGACCCUAUGGAGCUUUAGACACUAAGACAGCUUAUGUCAAGUACCCCUAACAAGGGACUGAACUAAAUAAUUCCUGUCCUAAUGUCUUCGGUUGGGGCGACCCUGGGGAAAUAACCAACCCCCAUGCGGAAUGAAAACAUGUUUUCAAAGCCAAGAGCCGCCGCUCUAAGAAGCAGAACUUCUGACCAGCUAGAUCCGGCAAAGCCGAUCAACGGACCGAGUUACCCUAGGGAUAACAGCGCAAUCCCCUUACAGAGCCCUUAUCGACAAGGGGGUUUACGACCUCGAUGUUGGAUCAGGACAUCCUAAUGGUGCAGCCGCUAUUAAGGGUUCGUUUGUUCAACGAUUAAAGUCCUACGUGAUCUGAGUUCA
rnacentral:rRNA from 1 species